GGAGGAAGGUGGGAUGACGUCAAGUCAUCAUGCCCUUUAUGUCCUGGGCGACACACGUGCUACAAUGGCCGGUACAGACGGACGCAAAGCCGCGAGGUGGAGCAAAUCCUAAAAAGCCGGUCUCAGUUCGGAUUGCAGGCUGCAAUUCGCCUGCAUGAAGUCGGAAUCGCUAGUAAUCGCAGGUCAGCAUACUGCGGUGAAUACGUUCCCGGGCCUU
rnacentral:rRNA from 1 species